GACGUAGGGCGCAAGCGUUGUCCGGAUUUAUUGGGCGUAAAGAGCUCGUAGGCGGCUUGUCGCGUCGACUGUGAAAACCCGCGGCUUAACUGUGGGACUGCAGUCGAUACGGGCUAGCUAGAGUUCGGUAGGGGAGGACUGGAAUUCCUGGUGUAGCGGUGAAAUGCGCAGAUAUCAGGAGGAACACCGGUGGCGAAGGCGGGUCUCUGGGCCGAUACUGACGCUGAGGAGCGAAAGCGUGGGGAGCGAACAGG
rnacentral:rRNA from 1 species